AGUCAUGUCGGCCAGGUGCUCCCCAGGCUAGCACUGCCCCGCCCCUGCGUGAUCCGGGAUGGGAGUUUGGAAACUGCUCCCCAUAGGCGGCCGGAGAGGAACGUGAAUCUUUGUCUGUUUCACUCCUCAGCAGCUCACUCUUGGCCCCAGGAGGAAAACGAGAAGGUUAACCAGGCAUAACCCGGAGGUGUAAGUCAGAGAGACAGGGUCUCACUGCAUGCCUGUAGUGCCAGCUACUCAGGAGACUGAGGUGGGAGGAUCUCUUGAGCCCAGGAGGUCGAGGUGGCAGUGGCCCAUGAUUGCAUCACUGUACUCAGUCUGUCUGCACUACCAUUGUGAGCUGUUAACACUCACUGUGAAGGUCUGCAAAGGUCUGCGGCUUCACUCCUGAAGUCAGCAAGACCACAAACCCACCAGAAAGAAGAAAUUCCAGACACAUCUGAACAUCUGAAGGAACAAACUCCGGACACACCAUCUUUAAGAACUGUAACACUCACCACGAGGGUCUGUGGCUUCAUUCUUGAAGUCAGCGAGACCGAGAACCCAUGGGAAGGAACCAAUUCUGGACGCACUGGGUUCACGCCAUUCUCCUGCCUCAGCCUCCAAAGUAGCUGGGACUACAGGUGCCCGCCCACCAUGCCCGGGUAAUUUUUUGUAUUUUUAGUACAGACGGGGUUUCACCGUGUUAGCCAGGAUGGUCUCGAUCUCCUGACCUCGUGAUCCACCCGCCUUGGCUUCCCAAAGUGCUGGGAUUACAGGUGUGAGCCACCGCGCCUGGCCUUUUUUUAAGUCUUAAUAUGGGAUUUCCAUAAAACUUAAUCCGUACUCCACAAUGCAACUUUUUAUAAUCAAUAAAAUUGGCAGGUUUGUUUGCUUCCUAACAAUUUAGAAGGACUUUCAGAAAAUUUGGCUGGUCAAAACCUAUUUUUACAUCUAGCCAAAUGGUUAUCUCUAGAUGAAGGGAUUUGGGUUCAUUUAUAUUUUCUUUUUCUUUUUCUUUUUUUUUUUUGAGAUGGAGUCUUGCUCUGUCACCCAGUCUGGAGUGCAGUGGCGCGAUCUCGGCUCACUGCAGGCUCUGCCUCCUGGGUUCACGCCAUUCUCCUGUCUCAGCCUCCCCAGCAGCUGGGACAACAGGCGCACGCCGCCACGCCCGGCUAAUUUUGUUGUUGUUGUUGUUGUUGUAUUUUUAGUAGAGACGGGGUUUCACCGUGUUAGCCAGGAUGGUCUCAACCUCCUGACCUCGUGAUCUGCCCGCCUCCACCUCCCAAAGUGCUGGGAUUACAGGCGUGAGCCACCAUGCCUGGCCAUUUAUAUUUUCUUUUUUCUUUGCGUUUAAUUCAGCAAUGCACCAGAAGGACUGACGAGACUCACUGGUUGGCCAGGCGUGGUGACUCAUAUCUGAAAUCCCAGUACUUCAGGAAGCCAAGGAGGGUGGAUUCUUUGAGCCCAGAAAUUCGAGACCAGGCUGGGCAACAUGGCAAAACCCUGUCUCUACAAAAAAUUAGGUGUGGUGCCACACACCUGUGGUCCCAGCUACUCGGGAGGCUGAGGUAAUAGGCUCACUAGAACCUGGGAGGUUAAGGCUGCAGUGAGCCAAGAUCCUGCCACUGUACUCCAGCCUGAGUGGCAGAGCAAGACCCUAUCUCAAAAAUAAAUUUUAAAAAAGAACCAAUGGCAGGUUAUAUACUUACUACUAAGAUUUAUUAUAGCAAAGUAUACAUAGCAAAAGCAGCAGGAAAAAGACAUGCAUCAGCAGGGUCCAGAGAGGUUCAACACAGGUUUCCAAUGUCUUUCGUUGUCUGAGGCCACACAGGAGUACUCGCUGUCUCGAGCAGUUAACUACAGGGACAUGUGUGGAAUGUCUUUGCCCAUGAAAGCCUGUCUGAAUCUCAGAGUCCAAGGCUUUUAUGAGGAGCUGGUAAUGUAAGUAUAUCCUGCUAUGCAAUUAGCCAUGGCAAGCAAAACUCAGGACCCUAACAAUGAAACCUCAAUCUUGGUGUUUAUGGAAAGCAACCUGACAAACCAGUAUGGCAUGGUUCGUUGCUCCAGUUGUAUAUAACAAAAUCACCAAUCAAUAACACAAAGAACUCUCUAAGGACUAUAUUCCCAGUGAUUGGCCAAGGGCUAAUCAUGGUUCCCUUGGAGACCUGCAAGGUUAUGCAACCUGACCUACUGUGUUAACUCUUUCCUCAGUCUGUAUUUUCUAAAAUGUCUAUAAUUAACAUAUAUUACUUUUAUAAUCAGAAAAGUAACUAUUAACAUAAAGGCAUCCAAACAUAAUGAUUUUCUUUUUAGUUAUUUAAUGAUGCUGCUUUGUAAGCUCAGUACAUUUUCUUGUAGUCAGCAGAGCUGCUAAGAGUAUAGUCACCCUACUAGACAUUUCAUAGAUGCCCAUCAGAGCCUUUAUAUGCUUUGGGAAAAACCAUAAAAACAGGCAUGAAAGAGCAUAUGAAACCUAGGAGGAACCACAGCAACAUCUAGUUCCACUUCCCCAUCUUAGAGAUGAGGAAAUGGGAAUUCUGAACAGUGAAAGGACUCUCCCCAGGUUCUAAACCUUAGGGUUUUCAAUUAAAAACCUGUCUUGGAAUUGCUGAAAUGUUUGCUCAGUUGCUUCUGAAUGUCUUUACCAUGGAAAAAGCUGGAGCCCUGAAUGAUGAGCUCACCUGGACCAAGCACACAUAGUUUGUCCUCCUUCAGUCUGGAUAGUGACUUCCCUUCCUCCCACUGCCCCAGUGGCCUGACAGGAUCCCAUGUCAAGAGCAUUGCCAAUGCUAUUGGGUCAAUGUUCCAGCUUGGAACCUAACAAGAGGAUAGGUUCAUCUUCACUAAAUUUUCCUUUUCUUUCACCUUCAUUUACUCUCUUGUAAGUUGCAGGGAGGUGCAAAUUCCUUUUAGGUCUCCCAGAACCAGGUCUUAACAGUGGUUAUGACUUCAGGUAGUAAAGUCAAAUGGUCCAGGAUUUGAAUUCUGUUUUUGCAUCUACUUGUAUGAUUUGGCUUAUGUGAUUUGAGUGAGUUACUUGGGGAAGUUAAUAAAAAUAGUAGUACCUUCCUCCUAAGGUUACUGGGAAGAGAAAAGGAAUGUCUUUCAUGUAAUAACUCUCAACUAGCAUAGGGCUUGGCAUAUAGUAAAUGUUCAAAAAUAUUAGCUGUUAUUUUUUAAAUAGAUGCUCCGUUUAUUUUGGAAAAUUCUAUUCUCUGAUUUUUAAGACCAUUUUAUUGAAGUAAUUGACAUGCAGUAUAAACUGAACACGUUUAAAGUAUAGAAUAUCAUGUUUUGACAUGUAUACACCCAUGAAACUAUCACCAUAAUCAAGUUAAUGAACAUAUCCAUAACCCCUAAAAGCUUUCUUUUUUUUUUGAGAUGGGGUCUCGCUCUGUCACCCAGGUUGGAGUGCAGUGGUACGAUCUUGAUGCACUGCAACCUCCACCUGCUGGAUUCAAGUGAUUCUCCUGCCUCAGCCUCCCAAGUAGCUGGGAUUACAGGUGCCUGCCACCAUGCCCGGCUAAUUUUUUUUUUUUUUUUUUUUGAGACGGAGUCUCGCUCUGUUGCCCAGGCUGGAGUGCAGUGGCCUGAUCUUGGCUCACUGCAAGCUCUGCCUCCCAGGUUCAUGCCAUUCUCCUGCCUCAGCCUCCCGAGUAGCUGGGACUACAGGCACCUGCCACCAUGCCUGGCUAAUUUUUUGUAUUUUCAGUAGAGACAGGGUUUCACUGUGUUAGCCGGGAUGGUCUCAAUCUCCUGACCUCGUGAUCUGCCCGCCUCGGUCUCCCAAAAUGCUGGGAUAACAGGCGUGAGCCACUGUACCCGGCCCUAAUUUUGUAUUUUUAGUAGAGAUGGCAUUUCGCUAUGUUGGUUAGGCUGGUCUUGAACUCCUGACCUCAGGCGAUCCACCCACCUCGACCUCCCAAAGUGCUGGGAUUACAGAUGUGAGCCACCGUGCCUGGCCAAAGUUUUCUUAUACCUGUUUAUAAUCCCCUUCUUUGUCCUCAGGUAACACUAUCUACUACCUGUCUCUACAGAUUAGCUUGCAUUUCCUAGAAUCUUACUUAUAUAAUUGAAAUAAUAUAGUAUAUACCCUUCUUUUGGCUUUCUUUAUUCAGCUAUGUUGUGAGAUUCAUUCAUGUUGUUUAGAGUAUCAGUUACUAAGUAGUAUUCCAUUUUUGGCUAUAUCAAAAUUUGUUUGCCCAUUUACCUAUUAAUGGACAUUUUGCACUGUUUCCAGUUUGGAGAUAUUAGAUAUAAAACUUCUAUAAACAUUUAUAUAUAAGUCUUUGUAUGGAUAUACACAAAUGAUCUCUGACUUAACAUUGAUUCGACUUACGAUUUUUCAACUUUACAAUGUUGUGAAAGCAAUAUGCAUUCAGUAGAAACUGUCCUUCAAGUACCCAUACAUUCAUUCUGGUUUUUACUUUCAGUACAGUAUUCAAUAAUUUACAUGAGAUAUUCAACAUUUUAUUAUGAAAUAGGCUUUGUAUUAGAUGAUUUUGCCCAAUUGUAGGCUAAUGUAAGUGUUCUAAGCACAUUUAAGGUAGGCAAGACUAAGCUAUGGUGUUUGGUAGGUUAGGUGUAUUAAAUGCAUUUUCAACUUACGAUAUUUUCAAUUUAUGAUGGGUUUAUUGGGAUGUAACCAUAUUGUAAGUCGAAGACCACCUCUACUUAUAUUUCUCCUGGGAGUAGAAUGAGUGGGUCAUUAGGUAGGUAUAUGUUUAACUUUUUAAGAAACUGACAAAUUGUUUUCCAAUUGGUCAUGCCAUUUUACAUUCCCACCAGUAGUGUAGGAGAAUUCCAUUGUCUACAUCCUCACCAACAGUUGGUACAGUCAACGUUUUUAAUUAAAUUAAUUUUAUUUAUUUAUUUAUUCAUUUUUAUUAUUUUAUUUUAUUUUUUUUGAGACAGGAGUCUCACUCUGUCACCCAGGCUGGAGUGCAAUGGUACGAUCAUGGCUUACUGCAGCCUCAACUUCCCAGUCUCAAGUGAUCCUCCCACCUCAGGUUCCCAAGUAGCUGGAACUACAGGCACAUGCCACCACACCAGACUAAGUUUUUCUAUUUUUCAUGGAGACAAGAUCUCACUAUGUUGCCCAGGCUGGUCUCAAAAUUUUGGGCUCAAGUGAUCCUCCCACCUUGGCCUCCCAAAGUGCUGAGACUACAGGCGUGAACUACCACGCCCAGUCCUGUUUUUAAUUGUAUGCAUUCUAGUAAGUGUGUAGUGGUAUCUCUUUGUAUCUCUCUCCCCAAGCCCUGGCAGCCACCAACCCACCUCUAUAGAUUUGACUAUUCUGAAUAUUUUAUAUACAUAGAAUCACAGUAUAUGCAGCCUUUUGUGACUGGUUUCUUUCACUUAGCAUAAUGUUUUCAAGGUGCAUCAAGUUAUAGCAUGUAUCAGAAUUUCAUGUCCAUUUAUGGCUGAAUAAUAUUCCAUUGAUGGGAAUACCACAUUUUGUUUAUCCAUCAGUUGAUGGACAUUUAGGUUGUUUCUACUUUUUGGCUGUUAUGGACAAUGCUGCUAUCAACAUUUGUGCACAGGUGUUUGUGUGGACAUAUAUUUUCAUUUUUCUUGGGUGUAUAUCCCUAGGAGUAGAAUUGCUGGUCAUACAGUAACUUUAUGUUUAACCUUAUGAGGAACUUCCAGGCCAGUGGUGAGGUUCAAGCAAGGGAAGGAGGAGGUUCUGGGUCAAUGGUACAUAUUUGCUCUAUUGGAGAGAAGCAAUUGGCCAAAAUUGUAGCUUGUCAUUAGUCUGUUGAACAGCCAUGGAUUUUCAUUACUUGGGCAGAGAACACAUGAAGCCAGGCUAGAUAUCACCAAUGGGUGACCAUAUUAAAGACUUGUGAAUAUUGGUAUUUAAUGUAUCACUAUUUAGUGCCCAGGUCCCCCUUAUGUAUGUUUAUUACCACGUGUACUCUUGGUUCUCCCAGCUUUUUUCAUCUAUGUUUAACCCACACAUUUUCUAGAUGCCAAUUACUGAUUUAUACUUGAUAUCUUAUGAGUUCAUCCCAUUUCUUCUAUAAAAUAAUUGAAUAUUUUGAAACUAUAUAUCAAAUGCAUAUUAAACCCUUCCCCUCUGUAAUUCAUUUCUGCAUGACACCACACUUACUUUGUACACAAUGCUGAAUAAAUGUUAAAUAAAAAAUAAGCAGGGUGGGACCUGUAAUCCCAGCACUUUGGGAGGCCGAGGCAGGAAGAUUGCUUGAGCCCAAGAGUUUGAGACUAGCCUGGGCAACAUGACAAAAACCCAUCUCUACUAAAAAUACAAAAAUUAGCUGGACAUGGUGGCACACACUUGCGGUCCCAGCUACUUGGGAAGCUGAGGUGGGAGGAUCACCCAAGCCCGGGAGGCGGAGGUUACAGUGAGCCGAGAUUGCUCCACUGCACUCCAGCCUAGGCGACAGAGUGAGACUUUGUCUCAAAAAAAAUUAAAAUAAAAAUGAGCAAUAAUCUCUGGUAGUCCUGCCAUAGAAAUAAGCAGUUAUUCAAACAAAAAUUUCCUGUGAUUAAGUACUUGGGAAAUACUGGUUUUUUGUUGUUUUUGUUUUUUUUUACUAUAGGACUUGCUAGCCCCUUAAUGUACUAAUGUGGUGGUACUUCUUCAUGAAUGGAUUUCACAUUCAGUGUCCUCAAACUUACUGAUCCAUGGAACCCUUUACUCAAGGUGCAGCUCUAGAAAUUGGUGUUGUAUAAAAUACACCUUGGGAAAUGUUGCCUUGGGGAUUGCUCUGUGCAAGGCCUUGGAAGUAUAGCUGUUUACUACAGCAGCCAUAGACUGAACAGCUGAACUGAAAUUCCUCCGGGUACCUUUUAUAAAGUAUAAACAUCCCACUUUUCUGGUUUGUUUUUUUGUUUUUUGUUUUUUGCUUUUUUUGGUCUCACUCUGUCACCCAGGCUGGAAUGCAGUGGUGUGAUCUUGGCUCACUGCAACCUCCGCCUCCCAGGUUCAAGCAAUUCUCCUGCCUCAGCCUCCCGAGUUGCUGGGACUACAGGCACACGCCACCAUGCCUGACUAAUUUUUUGUAUUUUAGUAGAGACAGGGUUUCACCAUGUUGCCCAGGCUGAUCUCGAACUCCUGAGCUCAGGCAAUCUGCCCACCUCAGCCUCCCAAAGUGCUAGGAUUACAGGCGUGAGCCACUGCGCCCAGCCUAUUUUUAAAAACAAUAACAAGAAGCAAGAUAGGGAAAUUGAAGUGACUUGGGGUAUGAGCUGACUAAAUUAUGCAAUCAAGGGUUUUUCUAAUUUCUCCUUUUGAGUAAAUACAGGAAUAAUGUCCCAUCCCCUAAACAGCACAGUGCUGAGACUAAUUCUUUGACAAAUAUUAGGCACGUUGAAAGAUAUUAGGUUCAUAAAAAGGAGACUUCAGGCAAGGCGUGGUGGCUCAAGCUUGUAAUCCCAGCACUUUGGGAGGCUGAGGUGGGUGGAUCACCUGAGGUCAGGAGUUCGAGACCAGCCUAGCCAACAUGGUGAAACCCUGUCUCUACUAAAAAUACAAAAAGUAGCCGGAUGUGGAGGCACAUGCCUGUAAUCCCAGCUACUCGGGAGGCUGAGGCAGAAGAAUCACUUGAACUCGGGAGGCGGAGGUUGUAGUGAGCUGAGAUCGCACCAUUGCACUCCAGCCUGGGUGACAAGAGCGAAACUCUGUCUCAAAAAAACAAAAAGAAAAACAAAAAAAAACCCAGAAAGACUUCCUCUUCCACCUGGCUGGAAAAAUAUGCCUAAUAGAACACCAGGAAACCCAAAUCUCCGUGCGAAGCGUCUCCCUCAUAUGGUUAGCCUGGAGAGCCAAGGGAUCCUAAAACUUAAAACUGAGUUUAUUGGAGCUCUCUGUAUUGUAGAUGGGAGAACAGCUAACUUAAUCUAGUAGACAGAAUAUAGGGACAGAAACAGAGCCAAUCAUAGGUCUUCUACCCUAUCAUGCUCCGUUUCACAUCCUCUGGCCCCAACACUAUCAACAUAUAGGCAGGUAUUGCUGCUCCUGACCCAUACCAUCCUGCAUACAGGAUUGUCUCUCCCCCUUGCCCUUUUUGCAGUCUCUUCUUGCACCCUUCCCUAAGCAUAUCUCCAGCCUGAAUCCUGCUCAGCUGUCAAAUUUCAGCUCAAAUGUCAUUUCCUCUGGUGAGCUUUCCUUGACUCCAGAAUACUGUUACACAUUAUUUCCCCAUCGCUCAUUACAAAUGUAAUUUAUAUUAUUUAGUGAUUGUCUCUUCCACUAGCUUGUAAACUACACAAGGGCAGAAACCAUUUAACUUGUUCAGUAUUGAAUUUCCAGGAUGUGGCACAGAGUAAGUAGUAAAAAAAUACCAGUUAGUUGCUCACACCAGUAGCCCUAGCUACUCAGGAGGCUGAGGUGGGAGGGAGUAUCGCUUGAGCCAGGGAGUUUGAGGCUGCAGUGAGCUAUGAUCGAGCCACUGCACUCCAGCCUGGGUGACAGGGCAAGACCUUGUCCCCCAGAAAUAAUAAUAAUAAAAUAAAUAGGCCGGGCACAGUGGCUCACACCUGUAAUCCCAGCA
rnacentral:lncRNA from 1 species